rnacentral:tRNA from 1 species
GGUGCUGUGGCUCAAGUGGUAGAGCACCAGCCUUGAGCUGAAGAGCUGAGGGACAGCGCCCAGGCCCUGAGUUCAAGUCCCAGGACCACCA